GACAGAGGGUGCAAACGUUGUUCGGAAUUACUGGGCGUAAAGCGCGUGUAGGCGGCCAUGCAAGUCGGAUGUGAAAGCCCUCGGCUCAACCGGGGAAGUGCACUCGAAACUGCAAGGCUAGAGUCUCGGAGAGGAUCGUGGAAUUCUCGGUGUAGAGGUGAAAUUCGUAGAUAUCGGGAGGAACACCAGUGGCGAAGGCGGCGACCUGGACGGACACUGACGCUGAGACGCGAAAGCGUGGGGAGCAAACAGG
rnacentral:rRNA from 1 species